rnacentral:rRNA from 1 species
GGAGUUAGCCGGUGCUUCUUCUGUGAGUGAUGUCCUUCCUGCCGGCUAUUAACCCGCAGGCCUUCUUCCUCACUGAAAGUGCUUUACAACCCGAAGGCCUUCUUCACACACGCGGCAUGGCUGGAUCAGGGUUGCCCCCAUUGUCCAAUAUUCCCCACUGCUGCCUCCCGUAGGAGUCUGGGCCGUGUCUCAGUCCCAGUGUGGCUGAUCAUCCUCUCAGACCAGCUACGGAUCGUCGCCUUGGUGAGCCGUUACCUCACCAACCAGCUAAUCCGACAUAGGCUCAUCCGAUAGCGCGAGGCCCGAAGGUCCCCCGNUUUCCCCCGUAGGGCGUAUGCGGUAUUAGCCUGGGUUUCCCCCAGGUUAUCCCCCACUACCGGGCAGAUUCCUAUGCAUUACUCACCCGUCGCCGCUCGCCACCAGGGAGCAAGCUCCCCGUGCUGCCGCUCGACUUGCAUGUGUAGCUGCCGCCAGCGUCAUCUGAGCCAGAAUACGAACCCUCGA